GCAGUUGUGGCUCAAGUGGUAGAGCACCUGCCUGAAAAGCACAGGGCCCUGAGUUCAAAUCCCAGUACUGACU
rnacentral:tRNA from 1 species